CUUCAACCCUUCUCUCUCUCCUCCCUAUUCUUCAAUUAUUUUUCACCCCUUCUCUCUCCCCCCCUUUCUUCCAUUCUUCUUCACCCCUUCUCUCUCCCCUCCCCAUUCUUCAAUUCUUCUUCACCCCUUCUCUCUCUCCUCCCUAUUCUUCAAUUCUUCUUCACCCCUUCUCUCGCCCCCUCCUUAUUCUUCAAAUCUUCUUCACCCCUUCUCUCUCCCUUCCCUAUUCUUCAAUUCUUCUUCACCCCUUCUCUCUCCCCUCCAUAUUCUUCAAUUCUUCUUCACCCCAUCUCUCUCCCCUCCCUAUUCUUCGAUUCUUCUUCACCCCUUCUCUCUCUCCUCCCUAUUCUUCAAUUCUUCUUCACCCCUUCUCUCUCUCCUCCCUAUUCUUCAAUUAUUUUUCACCCCUUCUCUCUCCCCCCCUUUCUUCAAUUCUUCUUCACCCCUUCUCUCUCCCCUCCCUAUUCUUCAAUUCUUCUUCACCCCUUCUCUCUCCCCUCCAUAUUCUUCAUUUCUUCUUCACCCCUUCUCUCUCCCCUCCCUAUUCUUCUUCAAUUCUUCUUCACCCCUUCUCUCUCCCACUCCCUAAUCUUCAAAUCUUCUUCACCCCCUUCUCUCUCCCCUCCCUAUUCUUCUUCACCCCUUCUCUCUCCCCUCUCUAUUCUUCAAUUCUUCUUCACCCCUUCUCUCUCUCCUCCCUAUUCUUCAAUUCUUCUUCACCCCUUCUCUCUCCUCUCCCUAUUCUUCAAUUCUUCUUCACCCCUUCCCUCUCUCCUCCCUAUUCUUCAAUUCUUCUUCACCCCUUCUCUCUCCCCUCCCUAUUCUUCAAUUCUUCUUCACCCCUUCUCUCUCGCACUUCCUAUUCUUCAAUUCUUCUUCACCCCUUCUCUCUCUCCUCCCUAUUCUUCAAUUCUUCUUCACCCCUUCUCUCUCCCCUCCCUAUUCUUCAAUUCUUCUUCACCCCUUCCCUCUCUCCUCCCUAUUCUUCAAUUCUUCUUCACCCCUUCUCUCUCUCCUCCCUAUUAUUCUUCACCCCUUCUCUCUCCCCUCCCUAUCCUUCAAUUCCUCUUCACCCCUUCUCUCUCCCCUCCCUAUUCUUCAAUUCUUCUUCACCCCUUCUCUCUCCCCUCCCUAUUCUUCAAUUCCUCUUCACCCCUUCUCUCUCCCCUCCCUAAUCUUCAAUUCUUCUUCACCCCUUCUCUCUCCCACUCCAUAUUCUUCAAUUCUUCUUCACCCCUUCUCUCUCCCCCUCCCUAUUCUUCAAAUCUUCUUCACCCCUUCUCUCUCCCCUCCCCAUUCUUCUUCACCCCUUCUCUCUCCCCUCCCUAUUCUUCUUCACCCCUUCUCUCUCCCCCUCCCUAUUCUUCAAUUCUUUUUCAGCACUUCUUUCUCCCCCUCCCUUUUCAUCUUCACCCCUUCUCUCUCCCCUCCCUAUUCUUCAAUUCGUGUUCACCUCUUCUCUCUCCCCCUCUCUGUUCAUCAAAUCUUCUUCACCCAUUCUCUCUCCCACUCCCUAUUCCUCAAUUCUUCUUCACCCCUUCUCUCUCCCACUCCCUAUUCCUCAAUUCUUCUUCACCCCUUCUCUCUCCCACUCCCUAUUCUUAAAUUAUUCUUCACCCCUUCUCUCUCUCCCUCCCUAUUCCUCAAUUCCUGCAAAAUCCUCAUAAGCUAACCU
rnacentral:lncRNA from 1 species